GGUAUUACAAACUAAUUCAGCGGCAGUGGUCUAUUUAUGUAUCAUCACCCCUAUUUUAGAUUAUUUUACAAUUUGGCCUCUAACUUUAUUUAUUACAAAAAUAAUCCUGCUGCGGUGAUCUCUAAUUCUCUAUUUAUUUAUUGCUGAAUCUUAGAAGAAACAAAACUAGUCUUUCAAUUGUCUCCGGCGACUGGUGUUGAUCUCCGGGAGCUCCGAAACGCAGCUAUGGCUGAUGAAUUCUCUGGAAAAAUAGAGAGCAAAGGGCUCAACCCGGGACUGAUCGUCCUUCUUGUGAUCGGAGGGUUGCUAGUGACGUUCCUUGUGGGAAACUUCAUACUCUACACAUACGCGCAGAAGAAUCUGCCUCCGAGGAAGAAGAAGCCCCUUUCCAAGAAGAAGAUGAAGAAGGAGAAGCUGAAGAAGGGAGUUCAAGUUCCUGGCGAGUAGUUCUUUUGAUCUUUAGUUGGGAUGUGAUCCUUUUGAUUACUCACUUUGCACGUCUAGACCUUUACAUUACUCUUUUAGUUUUGAAUGUUUCGAUAUUAGCAUAUGAUGUUUUCUUGAAUUGACAAUGGGUUCUCAUCUCUAUAAACUUUGCUGGGGCAAUGUCAUGACGAGUUUGAUGUGUUUCUUACUUUCUUUGUUGACGGUA